rnacentral:rRNA from 1 species
CUCAACCGUAGUAUGGCCUUUGAUACUAUCAUGCUAGAGUGUCGGAGGGGGUAACGGAAUUCCCUGUGUAGCGGUGAAAUGCGUAGAUAUAGGGAGGAACACCAGUAGCGAAGGCGGUUACCUGGCCGAUCACUGACGCUGAGGUACGAGAGCGUGGGUAGCAAACAGGAUUAGAUACCCUGGUAGUCCACGCUGUAAACGAUGGACGCUAGGUGUUGGAGGAACCGACCCCUUCAGUGCCGAAGCAAACGCGUUAAGCGUCCCGCCUGGGGAGUACGACCGCAAGGUUAAAACUCAAAGGAAUUGACGGGGGCCCGCACAAGCGGUGGAGCACGUGGUUUAAUUCGAUGCUAACCGAAGAACCUUACCUGGUCUUGACAUCCUGCGACCGGAGUAGAGAUACUCUGUUGCCCGCCUUUGGCGGGAGCGC